CAUUCGUUGUUCAUUCAUUGUUGUUCAAAGUUGUCUCCCCCUUGCUUGUGUACAAAUGGCUGUACUGUAUGAGCUGUAGCCUGUACUGUAGCUUUUUUUGGCUGAGUGUUGUUGUCAAGUGUCAAAAGUGAUCGUCAACAACCAGCAUCCUGUCAUUCAGUUCAUAAGAUAGUCAUUGCAACACCAUAGAAGUAGGGCAAAGUGUUGAAGAGACAGAUCUCAAGAAAAGCCUUUCCAAUCAAAAGUAUGGGGUCUCUCUGACCGUGGCCGACAGUGUGAUGUGCCUAAGUUAUCUGAUGUGGGCACAUUUGAGAAGGAAGCACCAUGGAAGGCAGGAAAUCUCGAAAGUUCAGGGCGCCCAAGUUGACUCGUGUGGAAAAGCUCACGCAGGGACUCCUGGAGCACCCAGAUGAUGUGAAGGCUCGUUUCAUGAUCAAAGAAGAUGGCGAGAAGGGUAGGGGUGUGUUUCUUCGUGUCCCCGUUCUCAAGAAGGACUCUUUUGUCUUGGAGUACGAAGGAGAAAUCAUCAGCCGCCAGGAAGCUCAGAGACGGGAGCAGCUGUACUCUGUCAACGAGGAAGGCUGCUUCAUCAUGGAUUUUGUGUUCCAGGAUAAAAGAUGGUCCAUUGAUGGGACAAGAGAGUUUGGCUCCAUUUCACGCUUGCUGAAUCACUCGCGCAACCCAAACAUACAGUUCCACCCUCCCAUCAUAGUGGACUUGAACGGCUCUCAGCCUCCCCGGAUAGCUGCCUACGCUUUGAGGGACAUCUACAAGGGAGAGGAAAUCGUAUUUGACUACGGGGUACACGACAAAAGACUCUCCUGGCUGAAGAAUAAAGAGAACGGAUAUGCUCUGGAUUCGGAUUCCAGCGAUGAUGAACCCACGUUUCACAUAUUUGGGCCCAGCACUUCCUCACCUCAGAAUCAGCUGCACAGUCCAUCUCUCAGGAUGAAUUCACAAGAUAUCUCACGUAAUGACCCGCUCUGCAGCCUUCCGUCUGAUGAUGAUGAUCAGCCUGUGCGUGACAUGUCACCCCCGCCUGAAUACGACUCCCGACCAAAACAGUAUACUCCACACUCGAAAGUGCAUCAUCACCCAGUGAAACGCUCACUCAGACCCUUUUCCUCCGGGGAGUUCAAACUGAAACUCACCUGCUUGUUCUCCACGGGCAAAAGGAAGUCGUACGUUUCCUUCUGCGAAAGUCUGGGUCAACCACUCACGAUACUCCAGGCGAAAGAAGACCACGGAAAGACGAAGCGCCAGAAGUCGGAGAGCAGUAGCGUGAUUAGUCUGUCCUCCAGUGACGAGGGGAACAGCAAGCUGUCUCAGGCGUCCUGCGUCGUCGAGGAAAGUCUCCCCGUAGACGUGCCUGAGCUGAGCAGUGUGAACAAAGUUCUCCGGUGGCAGGACCAAACACGGCCAGCAGCCGACCCCGAGCAAGAGAGGGCCGUGUCUUGUGAGGAUAUCGUCAUUUUAGAUGUGAGGAGUUUGAGUGACCCGAAGACACUUCUCCAAGUACCGUCAGAUGAGUUCAUACUGGGCCUACAACAUUCCACGGAUAACAAACCGGUCAAAAGUAGUUUAACGAUGAAGUCUCCGUCCACAUCGCAGCGUCAGGCCGAUCUGCAGCAGCCAUGUUUCUCUCAGUCAUCAAAACCAAAUCCACCGAAGGACGGUAGAUUACUACCAACGAGGGCUACGAGCCCGGUGAUAGGGAUAGAUGACUCUGCCUCUGAUACCAGUGACUCCGACCUGCCCAGUUUGAGGGAACUUUUGGACCCCCGGGAAAAGCCGCAGGAUACUGACUUUGUGCCUCAGAAUCUGAAGAAUGCGGGGAACGUGAAAAAUGCAGAUUUUACUUCCAGGAAGUCGCAUGAUUUAAAAUGUGUUCCAGGAGUGCAGGAAAAAGUAGACUCUAUAACUAGGAAUCCACAGAACGUGGAAUGUAUAGCAAGAAAGCAGCAGAAUACUAACUUAGUAGCUAGGAACCCACAGAACGUGGAAUGUAUAGCAAGAAAGCAGCAGAAUACUAAGUUAGUAGCUAGGAACCCACAGAAUGUUCAAUGUAUAGCACAAAGGCAGCAGAAUACUAACAAUGUAGGGAAAAAUCCACAAAAUGUAAACUUUGUUCGAAAUAUACCCCAGAAUGUAAACUGUGUUGCUGGAAGUUCACAAAAUGUGGGGCGUGUUGUUGCUGGAAGUUCACAAAAUGUGGGGCGUGUUGUUGCUGGAAGUUCACAAAAUGUGGGGGGUGUUGUUGCUGGAAGUUCACAAAAUGUGUGGGGUGUUAUUGGUGUAAAUUCACAAAAUAUGGGGCGUGUUAUUGGUGAAAGUUCCCAAAAUGUGGGGCGUGUCCAAAAGAAAGCACACAAUGAAGAACGUGUAGCAGGCCAACAACAGAAUGUCGACUGUGUUAGAAAAAUGCCACAAAAUGUAAACGUUGUUCAAAAGGUACCUCAGAAUAUAGUCCACGUUGCUGGAAAUUCACAAAAUGUGGAGCGUGUCCAAAAGAAACCACACAAUGAGGAAAGUGCAGCAAGACCACCACAGAGUGUCAACUAUGCAGCAAAGAAGCCUCAGGUUGUGGAUGCUGCAGCAAAGAAGUUGCAUGAUGGAGACUGUGUUGUUGUUUCAGACGAUGAAUGUUCUGGGGAUGAGGCACCGAAAGACUCGGUCAGCCGAAGAAGUCCUUCUCCAGAAUGUGAAAUUGUCGGGUGUGAAAUGGCACCAAAAGUCGCUCCGCCGCCACCAAAGCCAAAACCCCGUGCAUCUACCUCUCGCGUGAAGCGGUCCUCGUCUCCCGAUUGUCUCAUCAUACAGGACGUUUUCUCUCUCAACUCCACAAAAGUGUCAGAACGACCGGUAGUUGAUAGUCUGCCGUCCAGACCUGUUGGGUUUUUGCCCCCGACGUCCCAGCCUCAGGUCGCAGUCAUCAAGCCCUUCGUGGCGCCCGCCCAGACGUCGGAGGAGUGCGCCAUGCCCGAAGGAAGCGGAAGUUCUGCUCUCUCUCGGCCUGGUGCUGAACAAGACACGAAAGUGAAGCCAUCACCCUCCGAGGCCACAUCAGUAUUUUCCUCGAAGGAGCAGGAGGUCUUACGAGAGAUUUUCAACAACUCCAAGAGCAGCAAAGACAUGUCGAGAUCAGAGAUCGAAGGAGCCAUUGCAGGAAAGUGGGACUUUUUCAGCCGCUUGAUAGAAAGGGGGAUCACUCUUGAGCAGAUUAGUAAACUCGUGGAGAGCUUCAAAGGACCGGUGAAAUAAGGACGAAGGACCCGUGAACUAGGGACAUGGGACCCGUGAACUAGGGACAUAGGACCCGUGAACUAGGGACAUAGGACAGGUGAACUAGGGACAUGGGACCCGUGAACUAGGGACAUAGGACCCGUGAACUAGGGACAUAGGACCCGUGAACUAGGGACAUAGGACCCGUGAACUAGGGACAUAGGACCCGUGAACUAGGGACAUGGGACAGGUGAACUAGGGACAUGGGACAGGUGAACUAGGGACAUAGGACCCGUGAACUAGGGACAUAGGACCCGUGAACUAGGGACAUAGGACAGGUGAACUAGGGACAUAGGACAGGUGAACUAGGGACAUAGGACAGGUGAACUAGGGACAUAGGACCCGUGAACUAGGGACAUAGGACAGGUGAACUAGGGACAUAGGACAGGUGAACUAGGGACAUAGGAAAGGUGAACUAGGGACAUAGGACAGGUGAACUAGGGACAUAGGACCCGUGAACUAGGGACAUAGGACCCGUGAACUAGGGACAUAGGACCCGUGAACUAGGGACAUAGGACAGGUGAACUAGGGACAUAGGACAGGUGAACUGGGGACAUAGGACAGGUGAACUGGGGACAUAGGACCCGUGAACUAGGGACAUAGGACCCGUGAACUAGGGACAUAGGACAGGUGAACUAGGGACAUAGGACAGGUGAACUAAGGACAUAGGACAGGUGAACUAGGGACAUGGGACCCGUGAACUAGGGACAUAGGACAGGUGAACUAGGGACAUAGGACAGGUGAACUAGGGACAUAGGACAGGUGAACUAGGGACAAAGGACCCGUGAACUAGGGACAUAGGACAGGUGAACUAGGGACAUAGGACCCGUGAACUAGGGACAUAGGACAGGUGAACUAGGGACAUAGGACCCGUGAACUAGGGACAUAGGACAGGUGAACUAGGGACAUAGGACCCGUGAACUAGGGACAUAGGACAGGUGAACUAGGGACAUAGGACCCGUGAACUAAGGACAUAGGACAGGUGAACUAGGGACAUAGGACCCGUGAACUAGGGACAUAGGACCCGUGAACUAAGGACAUAGGACAGGUGAACUAGGGACAUAGGACCCGUGAACUAGGGACAUAGGACGAUUGAACUAGGGACAUAGGACAGGUGAACUAGGGACAUAGGACCCGUGAACUAGGGACAAAGGACCCGUGAACGAGGGAGCCCGUGCCUGAUGUCGUCUCGGUGUUGUGAUCUGAUUUCUGUGCUCACUCAACUGGAGUUUCCUCUCUCUGUAUUUUGCUCCCCUCAUGUUUUUUUUUUAGAUUUGUAUUCCCCGGACAGUUGUAUAUCUGAAAGUGAAAGUGGCCUUGUUUUAGUUUUUUGGGGUACUUAUGUUUUGAGAGAGAUCUUUUUU
rnacentral:misc_RNA from 1 species